rnacentral:snoRNA from 1 species
AAUUGUUAUGAUGACUGGCAAAAUGUUCAACUGCUCUGAAAAGAGUGAAUGACAUCAGCCAUUCUGAACAUUU